CUCGAAUAAAGGCAAACCGGGCGAAAGCCUGAGGACGCAAAGCUACAGGGGCUUAGACGCUUAGAACGAAGCGUGAUGCCAGCCAGUUUCCGAA
rnacentral:ncRNA from 3 species